UACGUAGGGGGCAAGCGUUGUCCGGAUUUAUUGGGCGUAAAGAGCGUGUAGGCGGCCGCACAGGUCCGUUGUGAAAACUGGAGGCUUAACCUUCAGACGUCGAUGGAAACCGUGCGGCUAGAGUCCGGAAGAGGAGAAUGGAAUUCCUGGUGUAGCGGUGAAAUGCGCAGAUAUCAGGAAGAACACCCGUGGCUAAGGCGGUUCUCUAGUACGGUACUGACGCUGAGACGCGAAAGCGUAGGGAGCGAACAGG
rnacentral:rRNA from 1 species